AACGCACCUUGCGCUCUUGGGUUAUUCCUAGGAGCAUGUUCGUUUCAGUGUCGCGUACCUUCUCAACCCCGCCCUUGUAACAAAGGGUCGUUUAGGUGUUGGAUCAUGGCCUUUGCCCGUCUCUUUGGAGGUGGGCUGGGCUGAAUUACAAAAAGCUGUACCUUAUACUAGCGGCUUGACCCGUUGUCGUAAUAACACAUUUUCGACGGGGAUCGCUGGGCUUGGACGAGCUUACCACAAAUUGUACUUUCAUACAUUGACCUGAAAUCGAGCAGGACUACCCCCUGAACUUAA
rnacentral:misc_RNA from 1 species